rnacentral:lncRNA from 1 species
AUAACAGAAUAUGUGAUUGGAGUGGACUAUGCAGAAAUUUACCGGAGCUCCUCCCUGUACAGGUAAGCCAGAUAAUCAUAAAGCUACAGAAAUUGUACUGUUAAACUGGUAUGAACAAUAGGGGAAAGAUAAACAAAAUGAAUAUGUACCUUGUUUCUGCAGGGAGAACAUGCUUCUAAUUGAAGAGCUGGGGCAACCAGCGCCAAACACCGUGGAUCUACAUUUUCCCCCAGGAUAUUGGCAGAACUUUAGGGCGCAGUGCAUGGCUUGCCUGUGGAAACAAAGAUGUGCAUACUGGAAAAACUCAGAACACAAUGUUGUUCGGUUCCUAAACACGUUUGCUGUAUCAAUUAUGUUUGGAAUUGUAUUCUGGAAAAUUGGCUCAACCAUGUAAGCAGGAUGACGACAAGCGAGAUAAUUUUCUUUCAUGCAAGCUUAUCAUGCCUCAAUUAGCUCAUAACUUUGUAUUCCUAUGCAACAGAAAACGGGAGCAAGAUGUAUUCAACAUACUAGGGGUUGUAUAUGGAUCAGCACUGUUUCUGGGCUUCAUGAAUUGCAGCAUCUUACAGCCAGUUGUGGCAAUGGAGAGAGUUGUUCUUUACCGAGAAAAGGCAGCAGGCAUGUACUGUACCUUGGCCUACGCCAUAGCUCAGGUAAUACUACUUUAUCAUUCUCUUCAAAAGUAAAACAGAUAAUCUGGACCUAAAAUGAUUGGCAUAUGUUUUCUAAACUCCGAUGCUGGAUUUCUGUUUGCAGAUGGCAAUUGAAUUGCCUUACAUGCUUGUCCAAGUGCUCAUCUUCGCAUCAAUCGUAUACCCAAUGAUUGGGUUCGAGAUGACAGCCGUUAAGUUCUUUUGGUUUGUUCUUUACAUGGUGCUAAGCUUCAUGUACUACACACUCUACGGGAUGAUGACAGUCGCACUAACACCUAACCUUGAGAUAGCUGCCGGAUUGUCCUU